AUUGAACGCUGGCGGCAUGCCUUACACAUGCAAGUCGAACGGCAGCACGGGAGCAAUCCUGGUGGCGAGUGGCGAACGGGUGAGUAAUAUAUCGGAACGUGCCCAGUCGUGGGGGAUAACGUAGCGAAAGUUACGCUAAUACCGCAUAAGCCCUGAGGGGGAAAGUGGGGGACCGCAAGGCCUCACGCGAAUGGAGCGGCCGAUGUCAGAUUAGCUAGUUGGUGGGGUAAAGGCCCACCAAGGCGACGAUCUGUAGCGGGUCUGAGAGGAUGAUCCGCCACACUGGGACUGAGACACGGCCCAGACUCCUACGGGAGGCAGCAGUGGGGAAUAUUGGACAAUGGGCGAAAGCCUGAUCCAGCAAUGCCGCGUGAGUGAUGAAGGCCUUAGGGUUGUAAAGCUCUUUCAGCCGGGAAGAAAACGCACUCUCUAACAUAGGGUGUGGAUGACGGUACCGGACCAAGAAGCACCGGCUAACUACGUGCCAGCAG
rnacentral:rRNA from 1 species